GACGAAGGUGGCGAGCGUUGUUCGGAAUCACUGGGCAUAAAGCGCACGUAGGCGGCGACGUAAGUCGGGUGUGAAAUCCCUCGGCCCAACCGAGGAACUGCGCCCAGUACUGCGUUGCUUGAGGAUCAAAGGGGUGCAUGGAACUCCCGGUGGAGCGGUGAAAUGCGUUGAUAUCGGGAGGAACUCCGGCGGCGAAAGCGGUGCACUGGUUGAUUUCUGACGCUGAGGUGCGAAAGCCAGGGGAGCAAACGGG
rnacentral:misc_RNA from 1 species